ACUUCCUUGACAAGAAUCCCCACUCGGCGCUUCAGCCAAGAAAGAACAGCAACAAAACACUCCCUCACUCCAAAGAUGUGACACUGGCCUAGAACAUUCGGAGGGACUUGUCAGAUCUGUUAUUAAAACUAGCCAAAGCCCGAAAGUCUCCACAUACAAGCCCAUGCCGCAACGAAGAGGAACCAAGAAAGGGGGGCGUGAGGGGGAAGAAGCCGACCGACCGGUGAUGAGGACGUGGGAGGCGCAGUGCUUGCAGUAGUAGACGAAGAGGUCGGACUCGGGGCCCUCCGGCAGCGCAUCCUCGCUCGAGUACGUGUGGGUCGUCCGCUUGGGCAUCUUCCCUCUCGCUCGCUCGCUCGGCUGCUGCGGUCGGCGGCGAACCGGAGCAGCGUCGGGGCGUGGGGGGAGGGGUGCGGGGGAGGGCACGGCUGCUCAGGCGGAGGCGGUCGNCCAAAAAGGUGGUAUAUCAUAACGUCCUACUGCAGGUGUUGUUAAUUGGUGUUUGAGAGAUAAGAUACCAUGAUCUGUUGUGUUGAUGUCUAUCUUAUCUUUUUUCUCUGGACAAUUUUUUGAUAGAAGAUUCAAUCUUUACAUGUGUCAUCAUCAAAAUUAUUCAUUUCCAAGUUGGGUACUGUUACGCAAUAAAAAGUUGUGUUGAAGUUUACCCUGAGUUGACGCAGCUACCACAGGAUUUUCUUCUCGAAAACAAUUGUGUGCACUUAAGAUACAUGAUAGUAGAUAAAGUGGCAAAUUUCACCAGGGUGGUCAACAUACAUAACAUCGCGUUACCAAUGCGUAAUACUGUCUAUAAAUUGUGCACUAAUAUUAGAAAACAUGAGAUUUGAAUCAAGUACCUAACAAUAACAAAGUUACAAGGUAUGAUUAGUACAUACCGUUUCAACAAGAUUUUUCCUGCAUCUUUCACAUUCAGCCUCGCAAGAUGCUUUGUCUUAUCUAGAACAUGUGCUCUGUCAGUCUUCCUCUUUGGCAUUUUCUGCAAUAGGGUAUCUUUAUAACAAGCACAUCAGAACUGGUUACAAUAGCAGAUACUUCAGUAUUAACAGGGCACACCGCAUACGACAAUCUUGAAAGUAGUCAAUAUCAGAAAGGAAAUGCAACUUAGCAACUCGAAAUUUCUAUCACUAGCUCGAUAUGACUGCUAAUCAUAUGGAACAACAAAAUAGUAAAAAAGAAAAAAAAUGACAAGAUUCCAAGGCAAAAUAAGUUUGAUAGGCGAAUCAUCUGAUUAAUCAGUUAAUCGGCUACUCGGUGACCCUCCAAGCAGGGAUUUAAUUGGCCAGCUAACUGAUUAAUAGGCCGAUUUUUUGAACAGUGCAAACAAGUUAUUGUGGUUAAAUCUGUGACAAGUUACAGACAGAGAUAAAUGCAGCUUUCUACUGUUCGUAGGAACCAUCUUCAUGGCAACCUCAGCUGAGAGAAAACCCAUGAUUACUACUCUUAAUCAAACUCACAAGACCAACAAGGGUGACAAUCAAAAUUCACAAUGCUGACACCAAAUGAAGACAACCUUCUAGCAAGCCGAAUCCCUUCAGCACUAUGUCGUUUCAGCUGUAAAGAAUUUGUGGGGGUUGGCACCCUUUGUAUCUGCUUAUCGUGUCGUUUCCCUAAUAAUUAACCCCAGUUCUACUCUCCUUAACAUAUAGGCAGGGCUGAUGCCGGGUUAUGUAUAAUCUAUCUAAGAAAGAAAGAAAAAGACUGUCACUUCCUUGACAAGAAUCCCCACUCGGCGCUUCAGCCAAGAAAGAACAGCAACAAAACACUCCCUCACUCCAAAGAUGUGACACUGGCCUAGAACAUUCGGAGGGACUUGUCAGAUCUGUUAUUAAAACUAGCCAAAGCCCGAAAGUCUCCACAUACAAGCCCAUGCCGCAACGAAGAGGAACCAAGAAAGGGGGGCGUGAGGGGGAAGAAGCCGACCGACCGGUGAUGAGGACGUGGGAGGCGCAGUGCUUGCAGUAGUAGACGAAGAGGUCGGACUCGGGGCCCUCCGGCAGCGCAUCCUCGCUCGAGUACGUGUGGGUCGUCCGCUUGGGCAUCUUCCCUCUCGCUCGCUCGCUCGGCUGCUGCGGUCGGCGGCGAACCGGAGCAGCGUCGGGGCGUGGGGGGAGGGGUGCGGGGG
rnacentral:lncRNA from 1 species